AUGUAUAUAACAACAUCGCGAGUGAACAAAAUGCAGCCUGGCGAAAUUCUGACGUGGAUUAUGUUCUGUUUCACAGUAGCUUUGGCACUAGGCGUGGUCGCCUAUUACAAGUUUUGCAAAAAAAAUCCUUAUGCUCAUCAUCAUUAUCAAAGGCCUUUGAUUACGAAAAAUUAGACAAUGAUUUCAAAAUUCCAAGCGGGUGAAUGGUACACACUUUACGCAUCACUUUUCAUGACUAUUCUCAUAAUUGCAGUCGUCUCAUAUUAUACACUUAUUGCUCCUGCUGAAUCAGCAUGGAAAGUAUCAAAGCGAAAAAAGCAGCAGUGA